rnacentral:rRNA from 1 species
AUUGAACGCUGGCGGCAUGCUUUACACAUGCAAGUCGGACGAGUGGCGAACGGGUGAGUAACGCAUCGGAACGUACCGAGUAAUGGGGGAUAACUGUCCGAAAGGACAGCUAAUACCGAAUAUUAUUCGAGCGGCCGAUGUCUGAUGAGCUGGUUGGCGGGGUAAAGGCCCACCAAGGCGACGCUCAGUAGCGGGUCUGAGAGGAUGAUCCGCCACACUUGGACUGAGACACGGCGCGGACUCCUAAGGGAGGCAGCAGUGGGGAAUAUUGCGCAGUGGGGGCAACCCUGACGCAGCCAUGCCGCGGGAAUGAAGAAGGCCUUCGGGUUGUAAAGUUCUUUCGGUGACGAGGCGUUAAUCACAGAAGAAGCACCGGCUAACUCCGUGCCAGCAGCCGCGGUAAUAC